AUGGUGAUGGUGCUUAGUGGAGAGAAGUGGAUCUUAGGAUCAAGAUACAGACUGUUAUUCAUAGACUUCACACAUACUGCAGCAAAUGAGUUGACAGGACGUCUUUAUUGUUUGAAAGCAAUGUGUUGGCUUUUUUUCUUAUCACAUUUUCAAUAUUGGCAAAACCCAGGUGGCACAUAAACAACGUCCAGCUCCGUUCCGGUUUAUUUUUAGUAGAUUGUGACAUGCUCCAGUACAAACUGCUUGAGCCAAGAAGAUUGACAUGAUAGGACACGUUUACAGCUUAGUGGAGUAAAACGUACUUAAGUAUCUAAGAUUCAAGCUCCUGUGAGCUUCAUUGAAUUUAACAGUGAAUAGUACAGUUGAGGUAAGCUCAGUUUGAGAAGGGCACACACCCUCAUAUGGCUCAAAGGGCGGAACGUAAAAUACAUAAUUGUUUGUGAGUUUCUCACUUGAAAUCAGUUUCAAAAACCAAUUACACAUCACAGUCGUGCAUGCCUACUUACAAACUACCUCACUCAUUCACAAUACUGAACCUUCAUGUCUGACUAAAGUUGUUGGUUUUCUGGCAAUUAAGACAAUGUAAAAAAAAAAUACAGUAAUGUACGUUGGUCCUUUUACAACCGUAUGCAAGCACAUUUUGAAACUCACAUCCAUUCACUUAUCAUAAAUCAUAAUAAAUUAUUAAAUCAAUAGGUCUUUCCACAUUUCUACACAUCAACCUUGGUUGAAAAUUCUUAAAAACAAUUCUGUGAGGUUAUUUAUGUUUAAGUUUAAGGGGAAAAUUAAUAAUCCUUAGAUUUUGUUUAAAAACUUGUCCUUGAUAAAAUAAUGUCCAUAGCCUUUUUAAUACUGAUAAAGGCACUCAUUGGCUUAAAGUGUGAAAAUAUGGUAAUGGGAAUUUCUGAAGAUACUCAGAUGAGUGCACACAUUUCCUUUGAGUGAGUCUCAAAAACCUGCAAAGAACAAGUCCGGGCCAUAGUUCACCCCAUUUUUUUUUCAUGAUCACUAACACUUCUAGAAUUAAGCACAAGCAUUUAUACUCCAUUAUUUGUUGUACUGUAUUUUAUCAAGUCCUAUUUUUUUUCUUUUCUAGUUUUUAGUAUUUUUCCAAACUACAUUUACGAUAAUGAGAACAUGGACGGGAAAUGUGCUUUAGUUGUCAUUAUUCAUCUUGACUGAGUGAAAUCGUGUACCUGGUUAUGCUGUGAGGUUAUUUAUAGUUUAAGUUUAAGGGGAAAAUUAAUAAUCCUUAGAUUUGUUUAAAAACUUAGUCCUUGAUAAAAUAAUGUCCAUAGCCUUUUUAAUACUGAUAAAGGCACUCAUUGGCUUAAAGUGUGAAAAUAUGGUAAUGGGAAUUUCUGAAGAUACUCAGAUGAGUGCACACAUUUCCUUUGAGUGAGUCUCAAAAAACCUGCAAAGAACAAGUCCGGGCCAUAGUUCACCCCAUUUUUUUUUCAUGAUCACUAACACUUCUAGAAUUAAGCACAAGCAUUUAUACUCCAUUAUUUGUUGUACUGUAUUUUAUUCAAGCCAUUUUUUUUCUUUUCAGUUUUUAGAUUUUUCCAAACACAUUACGAUAAUGAGAACAUGGACGGGAAAUGUGCUUAGUUGUCAUUAUUCAUCUUGACUGGAGUGAAAUGUGACCUGGUUAUGUAUUUUGUGAGAUUCAACCAUUACAUAGCUCAUAGUAGAGCUUCCCUACAUUAAUGCACAAGCAAUACGUAUACACAACAACUUCUAUCUAAACUCAUUUCAAUCAGUUUCAAGUACACAAUCUCAGUUUUGCCAUGAGGGAUGCCAUAGUGUAGGAGAAUCUCGCGAAGCAAGUUAGUUAAGCUCUUACAGCUAGCUACCUGAAUGCUAACACACCUGAUAUAAAUGGCAUUUAAAGGCAACUGUUCUCCCUUUAAAGGAAUUGUUCAACCUUAAAAAAAAAAAAAAUACUGUUAUUUACUCACCCUCAUGUCCUUCCAAAUCCAUAAGACAAAUCUGAAAGAUUUCUGUCCCUCCACUGAAAGUCCAUUAUACCAAAACUUUGACGCUUCA
rnacentral:lncRNA from 1 species